CUGAAUUUCAUUUGAAAGCAAUGGAUCAAAUCAUUAAGAUAUGGAUCAAAUCUUUUAUUUUCUUGUUUCUUAACACAAUUUACACACACAAAAACUUUAUCUUUUUGAUUAUUUUUUAUUUUGAAAUAUACACAAAAUGUAAAUAAUUUUAAAAAAAUAAAUUGUCAAAAUGUCCAAUUUGAUUUGAAUAUAUUUAUUCUAAUAUAUUAAAUAUAUAUACAAAUAUUGUUUUUAUAGAAAAGAUGAAAGCUAUUUAUGAAUUUGUUAUUUGGCUUUUGAUGCACAUUUAAUGUUCAAAACAUGUGGAUCUGAUUUGAUAAAUGCUAGCAGUCUAUAAUAAUGUGUCCUAUGUUUUUUUUAAAAUCUAGGUUGUGCUAUCUCCCGGUAUUUUUGUUCUUGUGUGCUUGAAGUUCAAUAGAGUUGAUUUUGUAUGGGCCUAGGUGAGAGCUACCCAUUUUUAUGUCAUAGGAUAUGUCCCAAUCACCAAACAGUCAGUGACAAGUUCCAUUUCCUAAGUAUCAAAAUGAUUGCAAGGCUCAAGUUAGGUAUUGACAAUGUUGAAUAAACACUUAAAAAGAGAAUCGCUCUCAACCUUAGCUUUAUGUACAUACAUGUGUACUCAAGGAAUAAGUUGAUUAGUUUUGUGCCGAACUUAGUUACCUAACACAUCAUAUUCAACUAGUUAUCUUUGGACCUUGUAGGAAAAUACAUCAACUUUGUGUGCUUGCUUUUAUCCCUGUACUAUGACAAUAGUCUUUUUGUAUUGAACUUGUGUAAAGUAUACCUGCUUUACUUGUGUACUUUUGGUUUGUACCUCUAGUUUUGGUUUAAAAGUGCAAUAACAAUUUCUACUUAAUGGAAUCUACUCUUCAACAACCAGCCCUGACAUUGCUUCGCACUAAUCCUGCAGCCCUAAUGUUUGUAGCGAUGAGUUAUGUCUCUUUGUAUAAAUCAUUUUUUGUACGUUGUUUUCUAUGAUUGUUUGUACUGUACAGAUUGUCUCAUGAAAUAAAACACUUUAUUAACAAAA